rnacentral:rRNA from 1 species
CGGGUGAGGAAUACAUCGGAAUCUACUCUGUCGUGGGGGAUAACGUAGGGAAACUUACGCUAAUACCGCAUACGACCUACGGGUGAAAGCAGGGGAUCUUCGGACCUUGCGCGAUUGAAUGAGCCGAUGUCGGAUUAGCUAGUUGGCGGGGUAAAGGCCCACCAAGGCGACGAUCCGUAGCUGGUCUGAGAGGAUGAUCAGUCACACUGGAACUGAGACACGGUCCAGACUCCUACGGGAGGCAGCAGCC